rnacentral:rRNA from 1 species
CCUACGGGAGGCAGCAGUGGGGAAUAUUUGGCAAUGGGCGCAAGCCUGACCCAGCGACGCCGCGUGGGUGAAGAAGCGCCUCGGCGCGUAAAGCCCUUUCAGCAGGGAAGAAAAUGACGGUACCUGAAGAAGAAGCCCCGGCUAACUACGUGCCAGCCGCCGCGGUAAUACGUAGGGGGCAAGCGUUAUCCGGAUUUACGGGGUGUAAAGGGGGCGCAGACGGCGAUGCAAGCCAGGAGUGAAAGGCCGGGGCCCAACCCCGGGACUGCUCUUGGAACUGCGGGGCUGGAGUGCAGGAGGGGCAGGCGGAAUUCCGGGUGUAGCGGUGAAAUGCGUAGAUAUCGGGAGGAACACCGGUGGCGAAGGCGGCCUGCUGGACUGCAACUGACGUUGAGGCACGAAAGCGUGGGGAGCAAACAGGAUUAGAUACCCUAGUAGUC